AUCCGCACGAGCGCACCCCUAUUGUUAGUUGCCAUCAUUCAGUUGGGCACUCUANCGAGACUGCCGGUAAUAAACCGGAGGAAGGUGGGGAUGACGUCAAAUCAUCAUGCCCCUUAUGACCUGGGCUACACACGUGCUACAAUGGCUGGUACAACGAGUCGCAAGCCGGUGACGGCAAGCUAAUCUCUUAAAGCCAGUCUCAGUUCGGAUUGUAGGCUGCAACCCGCCUACAUGAAGUCGGAAUCGCUAGUAAUCGCGGAUCAGCACGCCGCGGUGAAUACGUUCCCGGGCCUUGUACACACCGCCCGUCACACCACGAGAGUUUGUAACACCCGAAGUCGGUGAGGUAACCGUAAGGAGCCAGCCGCCUAAGGUGGGAUAGAUGAUUGGGGUGAAGUCGUAACAAGGUAGCCGUAUCGGAAGGUGCGGCUGGAUCACCUCCUUU
rnacentral:rRNA from 1 species